rnacentral:rRNA from 1 species
UACAGGGGGGGCAAGCGUUGUCCGGAAUUAUUGGGCGUAAAGAGCUCGUAGGCGGCUUGUCACGUCGAUUGUGAAAGCCCGAGGCUUAACCUCGGGUCUGCAGUCGAUACGGGCUAGCUAGAGUGUGGUAGGGGAGAUCGGAAUUCCUGGUGUAGCGGUGAAAUGCGCAGAUAUCAGGAGGAACACCGGUGGCGAAGGCGGAUCUCUGGGCCAUUACUGACGCUGAGGAGCGAAAGCGUGGGGAGCGAACAGG